ensembl:lncRNA
GGCAGAGAUAGCCCCGGGACGUCGGGCUAGCGAUAUUGCGAGCCCUGUAUCUGAUUGAGGAAUCACUCAUCUUUGGAAAAGAGAGUUUAUUACAGAGAAAUGUCUCUUUCCAAAAUAAAAGCUAUACUAUCCGCUUCUUCUGGGCUAUAUUCUCAGCAGCAUAUUAAACAUAUCAGGUCUCCAUAAGGAGAAUCCUGUGCUAACAGCUGUCUAAAUGACUCGGCUAAAGUUUGUAGCAUGCAUGCUUGUUGUUUUUGUCUUUGCACUAGGAUGAUGUCAGCGUAAAUGUGCAGUCAUAUUCGUUGUGUUCCCACUAGUGCUUUCAGGUUAAUCUCGUUGAAAUAACCUUAACGCCACAACACGGCAAAUCUCCGUUAACGAGCUACCCUAUACAGAGGGGCUAGACGGCCAACACGUUAACGAGCUAACUGCGCUAACACACUAGCUCCCACCCAUGUAAUUGAGCAUUGCAUGGCACAUCCAACAUACUGUUUUACUUUAGUCCAUGACUCGCUUACCUUCAGGGUCAUACGUCACAUGAAAACCAAAAUAAUUCCAAACGCCAGAUCUGAAUGAGGGUGGGGAGGUCCACUUCUGUCUCGCUAGCUUGCCCUGCGCUCUUCCUUCUGACCAUGCUGUCUGUGUUGAGUGCUCAGUGAAUCUGCGUUCGACUACUCCGUCUAGGCUGCACUCUCGAGCCUAGGCGGAGUAGUCAAAUGCAGAUUCACUGAGCGCUCAACACAGACAGCAUCGUCAGAAGGAAAGUUGAUAAAAUAAAUUACAAAUUUUGUAUUGUUCUUUAUUUUUUCUCCCCUUUGGUUUUCUUUCUUUCUCUCCCCCUCUUUCUUUCAUUCUUUCCCCCUGUCCUAUCCCACAGUCAUGUCUGUCCCGUUUGCAACUGAAAAUAAAAUAAAUUCAUAAUUAUAAUAAAGGUCAAUCAAAUGGACCAAUAUGAUGAUCCACUUAAAAUAAAUCCUCUUGGCAUCUUUCUUGGCCUCAAGACAACAAUUCUGAUGGCUAUAGAUCCAAACGGGACACAAAAAAAAAAAAAAAAUUGAAAAAAAAAAAAAAUUGAAAAAAAUUGUAUUGUUCGAUACAUAUGCGUACCGAACCGAAAGCACUGUAUCGAACGGUUCAAUAUCGAUACGAAUAUCGUUGCACCCCUAAUAUAUAUAUGUAUGUGUAUAUAUAUGUAUAUAUAUAUAUAUAUGUAUAUAUAUAUAUGUAUAUAUAUGUAUAUGUAUAUAUAUAUAAAAAAAAAAACACCCAGCACGCCCCUGCGGGCGGUUUAUCCUUCAAGCUCGGGUCCUCUACCAGAGGCCUGGGAGCUUGAGGGUCCUGCGCAGUAUCUUAGCUGUUCCCAGGACUGCGCUCUUCUGGACAGAGAUCUCCGAUGUUAUUCCCGGGAUCUGCUGGAGCCACUCGCCUAGCUUGGGAGUCACCGCACCUAGUGCUCCGAUUACCACGGUGGUCCCCGUGGUAAUACAUAUAUAUGUGUAUAUAUAUAUACACACAUUUCUGAAUGUUUAAACACCACCACAGAAUGUCUCAAUGCUUUUACACAGCUGCCUAUGAUAUGAAGUGUCCAUGAAUAUAAUUGUGCUUUGAGCAAGAAGAUAAAAUGUAUCUGUUUACAUUAGUAACCAGAUAAUGACCUUGCCUAAUCUCCAUUUUUAGACUGUAAGAUUAUCUAACAUUGUAACGUAUCUUUAUUUAUCUAUUAGGCAGAUAUCAAAAACUGCGAGGAUUAGUCAAUUUUAUUUAGUUGAAAACUAUUGGCCAAAUAUAGAUGAACACUACCUGUUAAAUAAAAAUUACAGUACCUUGUUGUUUGUAUUGUUUUGUAUUCAUCAGUGUUAAGUGCUCCUCGACUUUGUGUUCGUCCAAACUGUGCAUACCGUGGUAUCACUGAGAAGAAAUUCCUCUUGAUGUUCAUACAUAUCAUUCUAGGCUUGUCCAGAGAAAUGUUUCCAGUAAAAAGUGCCUGAAUAAAGUACUUGUGAUCACAUUGUUGCCUCAGUCACAUGUUUUUUUCAGGUUAGAAAAAGAUACUAAAUCAUGUAAUCAUUAAAGUCUGCAGUCUGUAUACACAUGUAUUUUGAACUGGAUUUGGGACACAGUGCAAAAAACUCCCAAUAAUGAUUUAUAUGAAGGAGGCCGUCUUACCCUGAGGGUUUUCACUGAUGUAUGCUGAUGUUUUGUGGACAUAUCCGAAAUCACCAGCACUACCCUGUAACCUCAGUCUCAUACCUUAUCAAAACUGUGAAACAGGCCCCUGUCCCAGAGGCGGUACAUUAAAGGGGAAAAGAAUUGACAUGAAAGAAAAAAAAAAGAUUUUAACAAUAUUUGAUUUAAUGAUGGCCAUUAUGUGUAAUUUUAAACUUGAUAGGCAUAUUUGAUGUAACUCAAUUGCAAUACCAUAACAGCUUAUUUGAAAUAUUGGCUUUACAGACACUUUCAUUUCCACUGACAGCCUUCAUGAAAAAAUUGUGCUCUGUUUUGUCAAGAUAUCUCCUACAUGUUUGGGU